rnacentral:lncRNA from 1 species
CGGUCCACAAGCCCCAACAACACUAGGUUAUUACAUCCUAUAAGUGAAAGAUCUUGUUUACAUGGCACUUAGGUAAUAACCCUCCAAAUAGAACUCUAAUCCCUUAUAACAAACUCUCAAAAAGAAAUUAGUGGUUCGAACGGGCGAGGAAAGAUCACAACCGAUAGAAAAGAACAAAGAAUGGGAAUGAGUCGCGCGAGGUCAAAACCAGAUUCAUAAAAUGAAUUGCUCUACUUUAAGACAUAAAAGGGCUCAUUCUUCGUCAGGAAACAGCUGAAUUAAAUUUUCCUCUAAUGGUUUUGAUUCAUUUUCUAGCUUGGCCAGGUCAGGACUAGCUUACUUUGAUCUAAUAACUUUAUUGGGUUUCACCAGGCCAUGCUCGGGUCA